UCUGACCUAUAAUUAUUCCAUAUAUUAGAUGGUCUCAAUCACUAAUUCCCAAAGUGUAAUCCUAGAAAUAAAAGUUCCGCAGCCUAUUAAUAAGCCUUGUUUGGAAAAGGGUUAUGCAAAUAAAUUUGAGAAAUGCCGGGCUAGGCCAAGUUCAGCAGGUUUCUUGACGGUAAGACUUAAUGUGAUUUGUAAACCUUGGAUGGGGGAGAAUGUGAGGCGUUCCCCAAAUGCACUGGUCAACUUUCUUUCCAGGGAAGGUCUUGUAGGACCCGUGUUCUAGGAACUACACAUUGAGAAACACUUGUCUGUAGAUUUGUUCCUGUUUGAAAACACUUUAUCCGAGGAAAAGUGGACAAGUUUUAUGAAGGAAAAGUAGAUAUAGGGAAGACAGAAGACUACCAAAGGGUUUAUUUUGGAGAUUUUUUUUUUUUUUUUAAAUAACCUAAGACCAAAAAGGCAACAGGGAGGUCUAUGGUAGUGAAUGAACACGUUAUAAGAAAACACAUUUUACAAUAAUUUUUAAAAAGUGCAUUGAGGAUUACAUAUUGGUGAAAAUAUAAAGAGGCAGCUAAAAUAAUACCAUUCUCACUAAAUACACAAUUUAGUGUAAGGAUCUCAUUAAGAUUCAUGUUCUGAAAACGUUUCAUUUCUCAAAUAGGCUUGGGCCUUUUAUGUAUAAUUUAACAAUGGAAACCAUAACAACAAUAAUGUAUGGAUAGGAAGAGUUUAUCCUCUUGAACGAACAAAUUAGGUCAUCGUCAAGCAGUUUUAUUUAAUGGGAAUCCCCGCGAGGUACUUUCACAGUGAGAAAUGGCUCUUCUCCUGUUAGAAAAGAAUGCUGAAAAGAACAUUCCCCUCCGUUUCGCACAAGACCUGGAGUUGUGCCACAAGAAUUGUCAAUGUAUUAACCACCCCCACCCUCCUACUGGUGUUGGCAUGCAUCAUCCAAUCCAGUUGUCUAUCAGCGGGGAGCCCUCGUUCGAAGCAAGGCCGGAUCCACAACCUCUCCACUCUGCACCCGGGGCUAGGUCUGAGUGUUUGAAGAAAACAGAGCCGCUUCUCACUUGCUCUCUGCCCUGCGGUUCCAGCUGGAUAAGUCUAGGAGACGUCCAGCAGAUCUCUGAUUUGGGGCUUUUUAAUAAGCGUCCCUAAUAAGAUCAUCGAUCAAAAAGCAAGAGCACUAAGUAUGCCUAAAUGUAGGAAUUCUUUCUGAUGAGGGUAAUAAUACAAAGGAAACCGAAGUUCUACUUUUGACUCCCCAUGGGUGAUGGGCGUCUGGUCUUAACAUCUGCCCGGGGCGGGAGACCCACCUCCAACACCUUUCUCUUUCUCAGCAAGCCUGGGUCUGAAACAGGAGCGGGGGAUUUGUUGGUGAUGGGUUUCUAGAGCACCAGAGGAGGGAAAUCCAGAACUUCCUUUGGAGAGAUCGUGACCUUCCUAACAGGUACCAUCAUCAGGAUGGUAAUUCUUGAAAUAUGUAAAUAAAAGUCGCGCUAAAAAUAGCAGUGCCGGCCGGCCGGCCGGCGUACCUAAGGGAUUGCUGCAGUCUGACUGCGAUUCUUCCCAGGCCACAGCGUGUCAGAUAAGCAUCUGCUCGUUUUCGGUUUUGCUUUUGCAAGAGCUCGCCCCCCAGGGGGAGCUCAGCCGCCCAGCGCAGCCGGCGGGGCGCGGCGGCUCCGGGACUCCGUCCAGGGCCCGCGCCGCGGGGACCGUGCAGCCGGGAGAGCGCGGGGCUGCGCGCGCCCCGGAACCUCGGCGCGGGGGGGUUUCAUCUAAUAUUAAUUGUUUUAACUUCUUGUGGUUUAAGCGGUUUUAUUGGCAGCAAGAUGCAGGCAGCAGCGCGUUAGGGGCGAAGGCUUCGGAUUGCGCUCACAGGGGAGACAAUGGGCUGGAAUCUGAGAAAACAAACCCAAGAUGUUAAUUAGCCGCUAAGGCACUCGGGGCACUUUGCAAAUACUAACAUAGCCUACUUGUAAACUCCCGAGGGCUGCGACUUCGUUAUUUGUUUGACUUCCAUGGAUCUCAGAGAAAACCAUCUAUUUUAAAGAGGAACGAGGUUGGUCCACCGUAAGUGAUACGUAAAAUGGCACAGACUAACAGAGGGAAGGGCCGAGGGUUGUCCUUGACUGUUUAUUGUGUUGUAGGCAACUGCGUUCUUUAUUCUGUUUCAUCCUUUCCACCACCUGGUGAGGUAGGGGGUGUUCUCACCGCACUGCCGGUGAGCAAGGGUCCCGCGCCCCCGCCCCGCCCUGGCUGACUGCAGAGGGGCCGCCAGACAGUCUCUCUGGCGGGGACCUCGGGGGAGCCUGUGGCCGUCGGUGCCCUGAAGCAUGGAUUCGGAGCAUCAGCAGCUUGCCUUUGAAACCUUGGGCUGUGUGACUCUGAGCGGGUUAUUUGCCCUGGCUCAGUUUCCGUUUAUACCUAGCUCCUGGGUUUGCUGGAAGACUUAAGGCCGCUCACCCAGAGCCAGGCAGGAGCCUGGGGGAGGGGGGGGGCGCUCAAGGAGUGGAAGGAAUGCCUAAUUUCUUUAUCUCUCAGUGGGUGGUGACUUCUGCCCCACAGCCUGCAAAUAGGCUGUAAAAACUUAAAAAAAAAAAAAAACCAAUAACAAUAAACAAACUGUGCAAUAAACAGGUAGUUGAAUUAGUCGCUGAGUUUGGAUCCGGGAAAAGGUUCAAAUCCUGGCUCUGCCCUGCUGAUUGUGUGACCCGAGGCCAGUUAAUUAACUGUGGAUGCCUCAGUUUCCUCCUAUGUAAAAUGAAGGUAAUAGGGUGGCUAUGAGAAUGAAGGGGCAUGCCUGGGAUGCCCUUUACAUGGAGGUAUAGCACCUCCUGAGGGCAAAAUCAUUGUCUGUUAGUAUUAUUUCCUUCAGAUACCAAAAUGGAGCAUUUUCUCUUCCGGAUUCAUAUGCUGAUGGUUCCAGAAGAGAACUGUUGGAUUUCUGUCUUACUAUUCUGCUGGUCACACCUCAAUUUCUUUUCCCAUUCACACUAUUUCACAUUUUUUCUUACUGGGUCCCAGAUAUUGUUCCAUAAUGUCCUUCUGCCUCUUUCUAGACUGAGGGAGACACUGGACGGCUGACUCCUAUUGCAUUCACAUACCAUUAUAGUGAGCCAGGUGCUGUGGGUAUGUGUUGGGGGGGUGGGGGGGAUGCAGGGAUCCAGACACCAUAAAGAAGCUGUGCCUGUGCUCAAGGAACUCCCAAAGAAAGAUGGAAAGACAGGGAAUAAGUAUUAAAAAUCCAAGGCAGGGGGUGCCUGGGUAGCUCAGUGGGUUAAGUCUCCUAUCUUUUUUUUUUUUUUGGUCAGAGAAGAGCGAGAGAGAGCACAAGCAGGGGGGAGCGGCAGGCAGAGGGAGAAGCAGGCUCCCUGCGGUACAAGAAGUGGGAUGUGGGACUUGAUCCCAGGCCUCUGGGAUCAUGACCUGAGCCAAAGGCAGAUUUAACCAACUGAGCCACCCCAGCAUCUCUAAGCCUCCUACUCUUGAUUUUGGCUCAGGUCAUGAUCUUAGGGUUGUGAGAUCAAGCCCUGCCUCCCGGAUCCGUGCUGCUUUAAGAUUCUCUUUCCCUUUCCCUCUGCCCCUACCCUCUAAAAAUUAAAGAAAAUUAAAAAAAAAGAAGAAGAAAAGAAAAGAAAUCCAAGGCAGAAUGAGGUGAGUGCAUGUGAGGAGCUGGUCAGGUAGACUGUAGUAGCGGGUGUCAGAAAUGUGGUAGGAGGUGUCAGAAAUGUGGUAGGAUCUGGGAUGGGUAGAAUCCCUGGAAAGGAUGGAUUGGAGACAGAGAGAGCUGAGACAGAAGGGAGCAGGAGCCUGAGCAAAACUGUUGGUGGUGGUGGUGGGGGACAGCGAAAGGAGGGUUUGGGAAGCAUGUUUUCCUUUCCGAGAUGGUUUAAGGGAGUAGUAAAGGAUGGAGCCAGGGCUGAUGCUGAAUGAAGGGAACCGAUGGUGGGAGGGCCAUAAGCAGGGUGAGGUUUCCCAGGGUCGGAUGACGGUGAAGAGCAGUUUUAUUAAUGUUUUGGUAAAGUGUGAGAGGUGAAAGGUAAGGAAAUUGUGGCUGGGAGCCUGGGCUCUGGGUGGAGACUGAUGUUCCAAAGGGCACCCAGGGGGCUGCCGGGAUGCUGCUCCCCCUGGGCUGUGGCCAAGGGGGGUGAUGAUAAAGGGAUGGGGCAGGGAGAAAGUGGGGAGGGACUUGUGUUUGCAUUGCUUCUGGGCUUCCUGUGCCCUGGAACCUAUUUUCUCAGAGAAACGGUAUUAGACAAUGUGUCCAGGUUCUAAAGUGAACUCAUAAAGCCCAUUUAAUCCACAGUGUUUCACAUCAUAUCAUAGUACACAAAGCCUAUUAAUCCACAAUGUGUCAUAGCAUACCACAGUACACUUGGUAUGAAUUACCAAGACCGUGUCUUAGAAUUUAAUGUCUGUGGGAAAAUUCAUUGCGAAUUCCAAGUAAUGGGCUAGGAACAUGAUGGUCAGCUGGGAACUCUCUGAUAUGAAACAGUUACACUGUGUGCCCAGGGAAUGUUUACCUGGAGAACACCUGUUCUGUUGCAAACCACCCGAUAACAUUGGGGUUGGCAAAUGAGAAAAGAAAUUUCUUCCUAGUAGCUUAUGUUCUAUGCUUUUUAUGGUUUAGAAUUUAAAAGACACAGCAAAUAUUAUUCUUGUGUUACAUUUGCAGAUAAUAAAUUUUUAUCCUUAUAACUGAAGAGAGAAUAAAUAUACUUCAUUGACAGCAUUUGUUGUCAAUGGUAGUUGUUGAUCAUCGGCCUUUUAAACUGGUCCUGCGACGUUUUUCCUGUCCUGGGAUUUUAGAAUCAAUGACUAGUACGGUUAUGAGAGGUCACGCUUAGACAUCUGUAUGGAUAAAAACUACAAAGAGCUCAAUCGUGGAGUAUUUUAAAAAGUGGAUCCUUUUGAAUAGAUAUGACAUGUUAUUUCUUAUAUUAUUGUCACCUUUGCCAUUGUCAUUAUAAUCAGCAGUAACAUCAUGCCAUUUAUUAAAUGCUUACUGUAUGCCCAGGACACCCUUUGAGAACCUCUACCUUAAAGCACCUAUUACCAUUUUGCAGCAAAAACUAGUUUUUGCCAAACAGUGCCCCGGAGAACUGCAUUAGCCAUCAUCUAAGAUUUUUUUUUUUUUGUCAAUCAACAAACAUGGACCAAAUACUGUGCCAGACACUGGGAAAUCAGUUCUGAUUAAAAUGAAUCUGUUGUCCUAGAACUUAAAGUUGGAAAGGUACAUAAUUAAGUAAAUCAUUCCGGGUACACGAAGUGCUAUGUAGGGGUAGUGCAGAGUAUUGAAGCAUAUGGGAGGGGAUCUGUUCUCAGGCGAGAGUGGUCAAGGAGGGUUUUUACAGACAAGAUGGACAAGACAGAUAGGCAGGAGUUAACCAAGUAAAAAGAAGGAUCAUGAGCCCACAGAGGGAGUUGAGUGUAUGGAGCUUGAGGGGUGGGUGAGAGUGUGGUGCCUGAGGAACUGAAAGGGGUCAGAUACAGUUGGAGGUGAGAAAUUGACUGAGAAGCUGCUGGAGAUGAGGCUGGAGAGAUGAUAGGAGUCAGGCUCCCUGAAGGAGCUGGAUCUUAAUGCUGAGGGCGUGGGGAAGUCACUGAAAAUUUUGGAGCCAAGAAUAAUCAGAUUUGUAUUGUAAAAUUUGUCACUUUGCCAGCGGAGACUGGACUGGAGGGGUCAAGAAUAAAGGGGACGAGGUAGACGUGUCCAGGUGAGAUAUAAGGGGGUCUGGAUUAGGGUGGUGAUGUUGGGAUCAGAAGGAACUAAGAUUUACCACAUACCAUGUUACACCAAUUCUUUUUUUUUAAAUUAUGAAAUAACCUUCUUUAUUACCAUGUUACACCAAUUCUGAAAUGUAUAGGUGUCAUAUUUUCAUCUCUGAAAUUGUGAUAAGGCUUAGAUUUGGUGGAGGUUUUGUUUCUUAGAGGCACACAAGACAGUGGUGCAUCCAGUAACCUAUGGCUUCUGGUGUUAGAUGAAAUAUGGCGCGCAAGAGGUCAAACCUGCCGGUCUUGGUGGUGCGGUGCUCACGGGGCCAGGGGCCUGAGCAGCCAGCUGAAUGGUGGGGCUGCAGUUCCAGCAGAGAAAAGGCUUUAUGAGAACAGUUUUAUUCUUCUGAUUUUUUUUUUUUAACUUGGAAAAGUCCAAGUGAGAAAAGCCGUUGGUUAAUAUAUACCAGGAGAUGAGGUGCCGAUUUAAAAAAUUGUGAAGUAGUCUAUCUAGGUUUUAAUUGUUGAUAUUAAAUUGCUUUUAUUCAUUUUAUUAAAUGUUGUUUUACUAAUUGCUGAUGCUAAACUGGUUUCUCGUAUAGAUGUAUUUCCCAGUUUGAUCUCUCUUGAUCUCCCUUUAAAGCAGUAUAUUUACAUUUCCUGCUGUAGUUAGCAUUCCUUCCUAUCAGUUUUACUAUCUGUCUCUUGAGGAUUCAAUAACUUUAAUUUAUGCAUGAUAGACCACGUGGUGAUACCAAGUAUUUGUUUUGUUGGUGUCUUUAUGGCUCAGUUGUUCUGGAAUGUCCUUUCACUGCCUAUUAGCAAAGCAACCACAUUCAAUAUAACUGUCGUCAGGAAUAAGGAGUCAUUUCAGGUAAAUAUUGAAAAGAUUUAGCUGUCUUCCAGUUUAUCUUGGAGGACAUUUUUAGCUGAAGAAUAACAGGCUUACAGGUAAUAGUUAUUAGUAACCUGACUAAGGAGUUUAGAAAUUCUGGAGGUUCUGUCCUAGACUUGCCUAUGGCAAAAUUUGAAACAUUGAUGGCUAAUGUGUUCUCUUCUCUGUCUUGCAUAUGGACCUGAUAAUGGUUUAGAAGCAUUAUACUGUACCUCUGACCAAUUUUAAUUUAAGCAUUAGAAAUUAAAUUUCUAAUGUUGUUGUUUUGAAGAUGAUCAUGUUUAUUUACUUUUUAAAUGCAUGCGGCAUUUAGAACAAUUUCCAAGUGCUUUCCUUUGCUAUGGGGUUGGCCUGACAGCAGACCUUGGAGGUGAAUCUAUAACUACUGCGGGCAUUUGUGAAAGUAGAUUCUUCUGAUCUGUGACUCCUGUUUUGGGAAGAUUAUCAGAUGAGUCUCCUACAGUGUCAUUUCCCUGUGGGUACUGGAACUUUGGAACUGCAGCUGCAUGUUCCCUGGUCUUAUCCUGCUUGUGGGGGCAAAGCAAUCCAUGGAAAAGGGUAGAGCAAGGGGAGCUAUACCUGGAGGUCCAGCUGAGUGAACAGAGUUCAUUUGUCUUGCUUGGCUGGAAAUACAGUGAGUGGUGUCUGAUUUAGCUAGUUCAGGUCUGCAGUUGAGGCUCUCUGGCUACUGGAGGAGAGAAACCUUUUUUUAAGAGAUAGGGAGGGACAGAGGGAGAGGGAGAGAAUCUUAAGCAGGCUCCAUGGGGCUCGAUCUCAUCAUGAUCCUGAGAUCAUGACCUGAGCCAAAAUCAAGAGUAGGACACUGAACCGACUGAGCCACCCAGGUACCCUGAGAAACCAGGAAUAUUACAAAGUAAAACAGUAUGAACUUCUGAUAGUGGUGAGAGCAUGGAAUAUGCCUCCUCUGAUAUGGCUCUUUUGCCCGUGGCUAUCAAUAAUAAUUUAGCAAAGGGGCGCCUGGGUGGCUCAGUCGUUAAGCGUCUGCCUUCGGCUCAGGUUGUGAUCCAGGGUCCUGGGAUCGAGCCCCGCAUCGGGCUCCCUGCUCCACGGGAAGCCUGCUUCUCCCUCUCCCACUCCCCCUGCUUGUGUUCCUGCUCUCGCUAUCUCUCUCUGUUGAAUAAAUAAAUAAAAUCUUUAAAAAAAAAAAAUAAUUUAGCAAAUCCUGUCUUUGUUUAUAUGCACACCAGUAUAUGUUCUUAAGGGGAAUAACCAAGAUUGAUUUAUUUAGAAUGCAAGGAUUCAUUUUAUAAGUUGGAUGAUAAUGUUUAUCUCAUGAAACACAAGGAAGGCCGAUCAGAUCAGUUCCUAGAUGCACUGGAAGGGAUUACAACAUCGCAUUGCAUGUCCCUCUUUUUAUCUAUAGCUUUAAAACAGAAUACUAUUGCAUGAGCAAUUUCAUGUUCUAUGAUAGGCAAAAUACCUAGAGAAUAAGCCUUCCUGUGAUUUCUUUUUAUUUUUUUAUUUUUUAAGAUUUUAUUUAUUUAUUUGACAGAGACAGAGAUAGCGAGAGAGGGAACACAAGC